GACGUAGGGCGCGAGCGUUGUCCGGAUUUAUUGGGCGUAAAGAGCUCGUAGGCGGUUUGUCGCGUCGAAUGUGAAAUCCCGGGGCUCAACCCCGGGUCUGCAUUCGAUACGGGCAGACUAGAGUUCGGUAGGGGAGUCUGGAAUUCCUGGUGUAGCGGUGAAAUGCGCAGAUAUCAGGAGGAACACCGGUGGCGAAGGCGGGACUCUGGGCCGAUACUGACGCUGAGGAGCGAAAGCGUGGGGAGCAAACAGG
rnacentral:rRNA from 1 species